AGCUUGCUACCUGACCUAGCGGCGGACGGGUGAGUAAUGCUUAGGAAUCUGCCUAUUAGUGGGGGACAACAUUCCGAAAGGAAUGCUAAUACCGCAUACGCCCUACGGGGGAAAGCAGGGGAUCUUCGGACCUUGCGCUAAUAGAUGAGCCUAAGUCAGAUUAGCUAGUUGGUGGGGUAAAGGCCUACCAAGGCGACGAUCUGUAGCGGGUCUGAGAGGAUGAUCCGCCACACUGGGACUGAGACACGGCCCAGACUCCUACGGGAGGCAGCAGUGGGGAAUAUUGGACAAUGGGCGAAAGCCUGAUCCAGCCAUGCCGCGUGUGUGAAGAAGGCCUUUUGGUUGUAAAGCACUUUAAGCGAGGAGGAGGCUACUUGGAUUAAUACUCUAGGAUAGUGGACGUUACUCGCAGAAUAAGCACCGGCUAACUCUGUGCCAGCAGCCGCGGUAAUACAGAGGGUGCGAGCGUUAAUCGGAUUUACUGGGCGUAAAGCGUGCGUAGGCGGCUUUUUAAGUCGGAUGUGAAAUCCCUGAGCUUAACUUAGGAAUUGCAUUCGAUACUGGGAAGCUAGAGUAUGGGAGAGGAUGGUAGAAUUCCAGGUGUAGCGGUGAAAUGCGUAGAGGUCUGGAGGAAUACCGAUGGCGAAGGCAGCCAUCUGGCCUAAUACUGACGCUGAGGUACGAAAGCAUGGGGAGCAAACAGGAUUAGAUACCCUGGUAGUCCAUGCCGUAAACGAUGUCUACUAGCCGUUGGGGCCUUUGAGGCUUUAGUGGCGCAGCUAACGCGAUAAGUAGACCGCCUGGGGAGUACGGUCGCAAGACUAAAACUCAAAUGAAUUGACGGGGGCCCGCACAAGCGGUGGAGCAUGUGGUUUAAUUCGAUGCAACGCGAAGAACCUUACCUGGUCUUGACAUAGUAAGAACUUUCCAGAGAUGGAUUGGUGCCUUCGGGAACUUACAUACAGGUGCUGCAUGGCUGUCGUCAGCUCGUGUCGUGAGAUGUUGGGUUAAGUCCCGCAACGAGCGCAACCCUUUUCCUUAUUUGCCAGCGGGUUAAGCCGGGAACUUUAAGGAUACUGCCAGUGACAAACUGGAGGAAGGCGGGGACGACGUCAAGUCAUCAUGGCCCUUACGACCAGGGCUACACACGUGCUACAAUGGUCGGUACAAAGGGUUGCUACCUAGCGAUAGGAUGCUAAUCUCAAAAAGCCGAUCGUAGUCCGGAUUGGAGUCUGCAACUCGACUCCAUGAAGUCG
rnacentral:rRNA from 1 species